rnacentral:rRNA from 1 species
UACGUAGGGUGCAAGCGUUAAUCGGAAUUACUGGGCGGAAAGCGCGCGCAGGCGGUCUUGUAAGUCUGUCGUGAAAGCCCCGGGCUCAACCGGGGAAUUGCGAUGGAGACUGCAAGGCUUGAAUCUGGCAGAGGGGGGUAGAAUUCCACGUGUAGCAGUGAAAUGCGUAGAGAUGUGGAGGAACACCGAUGGCGAAGGCAGCCCCCUGGGUCAAGAUUGACGCUCAUGCACGAAAGCGUGGGGAGCAAACAGG